GGAGAUGCAGGCCUUCAUAAGUGGCCUGUUCCGGUAUCUCUCAUACAUUUACUUGGGUGAGUUAGGGAGGGACAGACGGUCUAAGACCCAUGUCUUCUAUCUCUGAGUCCUCCUCUCUUCCCACACAGGCAAUAACAUAGAACCCUUUGUCUCUGGGCUCUCUGGUGCCUGUUCCCAUUUCCAAGCAGCCCCUUCUCCCCCUUUCCCCACCAGCUUUAUUUGGUUCACCCACCCUGCCCUCUUAGCCUGCUUCUUCCAGAGGCCUGUGGGGAGCAGCCACGGGAUCCAGUUAACCAUUGCCCUGAGCCUCCCCCAGUCUGGCUCAUUGAACGCAUGCACCUGCCACUGACCAUCUCUGCCAUUUUUCUCCCGGCUGUUUGCUGUUUGUUUGUGUGAUUGGCUCUCCUCUUGUAUUUCAAGCUGCCCACUACAUCCAUCAUAGACAGCAGUUUAUCUUCCCAGACAUCUCUACCCCAUCCCAAGCACCCCAAGUCCCUGAUGCAGCUGAAGAGACACGGGUCAAUGACCAGCCGAAAGCCAGUAUGACUGAGGACCAUGAAACAGAGGCGAGCUUGGAGAUGGCACAGCAGAGAUCUGUGGGUCAAUCACUCCUCU